UACGUAGGGUGCGAGCGUUGUCCGGAAUUAUUGGGCGUAAAGAGCUCGUAGGCGGUGUGUCGCGUCGGCCGUGAAAACCUGCAGCUUAACUGUGGGCUUGCGGUCGAUACGGGCAUCACUGGAGUUCGGCAGGGGAGACUGGAAUUCCUGGUGUAGCGGUGAAAUGCGCAGAUAUCAGGAGGAACACCGGUGGCGAAGGCGGGUCUCUGGGGCCGAUACUGACGCUGAGGCGCGAAAGCUAGGGGUAGCAAACGGG
rnacentral:rRNA from 1 species